GGCGUCGUAGCUCAUUUGGCUAGAGUGUUGGCUGUACUAAAGCUUUCCCCUUGCUGGCGUGGGUUUGAAUCCCACCGAGGCCA
rfam:Schistocephalus solidus strain NST_G2 genome assembly, scaffold: SSLN_scaffold0004970